UACGGAGGGGACUAGCGUUGUUCGGAAUUACUGGGCGUAAAGCGCACGUAGGCGGAUUUGUAAGUCAGGGGUGAAAUCCCGGGGCUCAACCUCGGAACUGCCUUUGAUACUGCAAAUCUCGAGUCCGGAAGAGGUGAGUGGAAUUCCUAGUGUAGAGGUGAAAUUCGUAGAUAUUAGGAAGAACACCAGUGGCGAAGGCGGCUCACUGGUCCGGUACUGACGCUGAGGUGCGAAAGCGGGGGGAGCAAACAGG
rnacentral:rRNA from 1 species